rnacentral:rRNA from 1 species
UACAGGGGGUGCAAACGUUGCUCGGAAUCAUUGGGCGUAAAGCGCACGUAGGUGGUCGUUUAAGUUGGAUGUGAAAGCCCUCGGCUCAACUGAGGAAGUGCAUCCAAAACUGAUCGGCUAGAGUACGAAAGAGGGUCGCGGAAUUCCCGGUGUAGAGGUGAAAUUCGUAGAUAUCGGGAGGAACACCAGUGGCGAAGGCGGCGACCUGGUUCGAUACUGACGCUGAGGUGCGAAAGCGUGGGGAGCAAACAGG